AGUGAACGCUGGCGGUAGACCUAACACAUGCAAGUCGAACGGCAGCACAGUAAGAGCUUGCUCUUACGGGUGGCGAGUGGCGGACGGGUGAGGAAUACAUCGGAAUCUACUUUUUCGUGGGGGAUAACGUAGGGAAACUUACGCUAAUACCGCAUACGACCUACGGGUGAAAGCAGGGGAUCUUCGGACCUUGCGCGAUUGAAUGAGCCGAUGUCGGAUUAGCUAGUUGGCGGGGUAAAGGCCCACCAAGGCGACGAUCCGUAGCUGGUCUGGGAGGAUGAUCAGCCACACUGGAACUGAGACACGGUCCAGACUCCUACGGGAGGCAGCAGUGGGGAAUAUUGGACAAUGGGCGCAAGCCUGAUCCAGCCAUACCGCGUGGGUGAAGAAGGCCUUCGGGUUGUAAAGCCCUUUUGUUGGGAAAGAAAAGCAGCAGGUUAAUACCCCGCUGUUCUGACGGUACCCAAAGAAUAAGCACCGGCUAACUUCGUG
rnacentral:rRNA from 1 species